rnacentral:tRNA from 2 species
UCCCCUUUAGCUCAGUGGUUUUAGAGUUUCGUGCUUAUGAGGAUACCUUUAGGUUUUGAAUCACGAAUGUCGGCAGUUCAAUCCUGUCAAGGGGAA